rnacentral:rRNA from 1 species
CCUACGGGAGGCAGCAGUGGGGAAUAUUGGGCAAUGGACGCAAGCCUGACCCAGCAACGCCGCGUGAAGGAAGAAGGCUCUCGGGUUGUAAACUUCCUUUUAGAGGGAAGUGCAACAGACGGUGCCUCUUGAUUAAGCCACGGCUAACUACGUGCCAGCAGCCACGGUAAUACGUAGGUGGCAAGCGUUGUCCGGAUUUACUGGGUGUACCGGGCGUGCUGCCGGGAAGACAAGUCAGAUGUGAAAGCCCGCGGCUCAACCGCGGAACUGCAAUUGAUACUGGUUGUCUUGAGUACCGGAGAGGUCAUCGGAAUUCCUUGUGUAGCGGUGAAAUGCUUAGAUAUAAGGAAGAACACCAGUGGCGAAGGCGGAUGACUAGACGGCGACUGACAUUGAGGCGCGAAAGCGUGGGUAUCAAACAGGAUUAGAUACCCGGGUAGUC